rnacentral:tRNA from 1 species
GCGAGCGUAGCUCAGUGGUAGAGCGUCACGUUGCCAACGUGGCUGUCGUGGGUUCGAUCCCCAUCGCUCGCUCCA